rnacentral:lncRNA from 1 species
AUUACUCUAGGCUACACUGAAAAUUCACUACUACACAUACAGAUUUUCCAGCAUAUCAUAAUAGCUCCAAACUUACACAUAUUAGUGGGACAGAAACCAAGCUCUAUUAUCAAACCCAACUACAGACAAAUUAUACGGUAGGCUCAUAUUAUGUUUCAACCACAUAAUUCACAAGAAAAAUAGAGAAAAAGAAAAGAGAUGGACCUGAAAAUUAGACUUUCAUUGACUGAAAUUUUCAGUAAUUACACGAGCAAAUGAACCAAACGCUACAGCCGAAAAUCUGAUAAAAACUACGAUGGAACCACGACCCAACACUGAACAGCCUGGACCUCAAUCAGAUUCCGUAAUUUUAAACCCAAAAAAACCAUACUGAGUUUGCUCGGCACGAACGGAAACAAAGACUACGAAUCUUGACGGCACCUAGUGGACGACAAUCUGAAUCCACCUUGUUUUGGAGAGGUUGGCGAGAUGAGUGGGGGUGGCCGAUAUUUGUGAAGGGGAGUGAAGACCUGAU